rnacentral:rRNA from 1 species
AUUCCUACGGGAGGCAGCAGUGGGGAAUAUUGCACAAUGGGCGCAAGCCUGAUGCAGCCAUGCCGCGUGUAUGAAGAAGGCCUUCGGGUUGUAAAGUACUUUCAACGGGGAGGAAGGUGUUGUGGUUAAUAACCUCAGCAAUUGACGUUACCCGCAGAAGAAGCACCGGCUAACUCCGUGCCAGCAGCCGCGGUAAUAAU